ACUUUCAGCAACGGAUCUCUUGGCUCUCGCAUCGAUGAAGAACGCAGCAAAUUGCGAUAAGUAAUGUGAAUUGCAGAUUUUCAGUGAAUCAUCGAAUCUUUGAACGCACCUUGCGCUCCUUGGUAUUCCGAGGAGCAUGCCUGUUUGAGUGUCA
rnacentral:rRNA from 1 species